rnacentral:misc_RNA from 1 species
UGAUACCAGAGGCAUCUCAAGUAAAGAAUGCAAUAAAGGAAAGGGAAAGGACUGGAACGACUGAUGAGAGCUUUUAUGGUGUUCCAGUUUUUCAGUCGAGGAGCUUAAUUCUAAGAAGCCAAAACAAGAGAUAUCGGCCUGUUUUCUUCAGGAAGGAGGACCUACAGAGUUCACUAGUAAGAGCUUCUCAGCAGCAAGGGCGAUUGAAUCCCGCUUUGAAAGGAGAUAUUCAGGUUGGCGUUCUGGAGGAUAUAAUACAAGGUAUGAAGGAUUCUUCGACAUCACAGUGGGACGAUGUUGUAUUUGUUCCUCCGGGUUUCGAUGUUUCAGCAGAUCCCUCUCAGAAGUAACAAAUAUGUACACCAUAAGGCCAGAUGUUAGUUGAAACUUAUCAUCAUCACUUUUGAUAUCUUAAUUCCUAUGUGUAUUUUGUAGACUUUGACUAAUGUUAGUAAUGAAACUGGAGCUAGUAGUGUUUGAUAAUUGUAGACAAA